UACGUAGGGUGCAAGCGUUAAUCGGAAUUACUGGGCGUAAAGCGUGCGCAGGCGGUUCUAUAAGACAGAUGUGAAAUCCCCCGGGCUCAACUGGGAACUGCAUUUGUGACUGUAGAGCUGGAGUGCGGCAGGAGGGGGAUGGAAUUCCGCGUGUAGCAGUGAAAUGCGUAGAUAUGCGGGAGGAACACCGAUGGCGAAGGCAAUCCCCUGGGCCUGCACUGACGCUCAUGCACGAAAGCGUGGGAGCAACAGG
rnacentral:rRNA from 1 species